UUCUCAGCACAGAUAUUCUACACCUCACGCCUUCACCUUUAACACCUCCAGUCCCUCAUCUGAAGGUUCCCUCUCCCAGAGGCAGAGGUCGACGUCCACACCUAAUGUCCACAUGGUCAGCACCACCCUGCCUGUGGACAGCAGGAUGAUUGAGGAUGCAAUUCGAAGUCACAGCGAAUCAGGUACUUUUCCAUAGUCAUUUAGCCAACAAUAAUGGGCUUUUUUUCUUUAUGCGGUGUAUCUUCUGUUGGCUUAUCCUUGUGUGGCUUCUGUUUGUCUUGUCUAUUAAGCCUCACCUUCAGCCCUGUCCAGUAGUCCCAACAAUCUGAGCCCAACAGGCUGGUCACAGCCGAAAACCCCCGUGCCAGCAC
rnacentral:sRNA from 1 species